ACAGUACAAACUGAGCAGGCCGGGGAAAUGUGCAUGUGUUGUACAUUGAUCUUUGGAGCCGGGUCGCCGAAGCGACAGUGGAUGAGACAUCCGCGGGACAGU
rnacentral:ncRNA from 1 species